rnacentral:rRNA from 1 species
AUUGAACGCUAGCGGGAUGCCUUACACAUGCAAGUCGAACGGAGUGGCCAACGGGUGAGUAAUGUAUCUGAACGUGCCCACUAGCGGGGGAUAACUACCCGCAAGCGUAGCUAAUACCUCCUACUUUUCGUCCGGCCGAUAUCGGAUUAGCUAGUUGGUGGGGUAACGGCUCACCAAGGCGACGAUCCGUAGCUGGUUUGAGAGGACGACCAGCCACACUGGGACUGAGACACGGCCCAGACUCCUACGGGAGGCAGCAGUGGGGAAUUUUGGACAAUGGGGGAAACCCUGAUCCAGCCAUGCCGCGUGUGCGAUGAAGGCCUUCGGGUUGUAAAGCACUUUUGGCAGGAAAGCGGUACCUGCAGAAGAAGCACCGGCUAACUACGUGCCAGCCGCCGCGGUAAUAC